GAAUGGCAUCACGAGGGUUAUACUGUCUCCCCCCUCUAAUCAGUGAAACUGAUCCCCCCGUGAAGAAGCGGGGAUAAGAAUAUAAGACGAGAAGACCCCAUGGAGCUUAAAACCCUACACCACCUACCCACCCCACAUCACCCAAAACAGGUAGACAUGGUGCCCAGUUUUCGGUUGGGGUGACCGCGGAGUAAAGCUAAACCUCCACGAUGAUAUUAUCUAAGAGCCACAACUCAAAGAAUCAACUAAUUGACAUACUUUGACCCAAAGAAAUUUGAUCAACGAACCAAGUUACCCUGGGGAUAACAGCGCAAUCCAUUUCAAGAGCCCCUAUCGACAAAUGG
rnacentral:rRNA from 1 species